ACGAAGGUGGCAAGCGUUGUUCGGAUUCAUUGGGCGUAAAGGGUGCGUAGGCGGUCGCGCAAGUCGGAUGUGAAAUCUCGGGGCUCAACCCCGAAACUGCUUUCGAUACUGCGUGGCUAGAGUGCUGGAGAGGAGACUGGAAUUUACGGUGUAGCAGUGAAAUGCGUAGAUAUCGUAAGGAAGACCAGUGGCGAAGGCGAGUCUCUGGACAGCAACUGACGCUGAGGCACGAAGGCCAGGGGAGCAAACGGGA
rnacentral:rRNA from 1 species